UACAGAGGGUGCGAGCGUUAAUCGGAAUUACGGGGCGUAAAGCGCGCGUAGGCGGCUUUUCAAGUCGAUUGUGAAAUCCCCGGGCUUAACCUGGGAACUGCGUCCGAUACUGGAAGGCUUGAAUCCGGGAGAGGGAUGUGGAAUUCCAGGUGUAGCGGUGAAAUGCGUAGAUAUCUGGAGGAACACCGGUGGCGAAGGCGACAUCCUGGACCGGUAUUGACGCUGAGGCGCGAAAGCCAGGGGAGCAAACGGG
rnacentral:rRNA from 1 species